rnacentral:rRNA from 1 species
UGCGCAGGCGGGUUUGUAAGUCAGUGGUGAAAUCCUGCCGCUUAACGGUAGAAUUGCCAUUGAUACUGCGAAUCUUGAGUAUGGUUGAGGUAGGCGGAAUGUGUAGUGUAGCGGUGAAAUGCAUAGAUAUUACACAGAACUCCGAUUGCGAAGGCAGCUUACUAAGCCAUAACUGACGCUGAGGCGCGAAAGCGUGGGGAGCGAACAGGAUUAGAUACCCUGGUAGUCC